CAGGGUCGUUAGCCGGGAGGACGUUCUUCACACUUUCAAUACAAAAGCGAUCAAUGCAUUUCAGCUCCAUAUGUGCAAUAUGAGCAGCAAGGAGGCGGACUUCUCCUUCAUUUCUUGGCCAGCCGAACCCCUCCUACAGGAUUUGAGGGGAACUGCAGUUCCUUCAGCUUAGUUGUAGCACGCCGUGAUAGCCACACUGAAUAGUUAAAGAAGUGACGCUAUUCCUCUUGACUGUCGGUGUCACAGAUCUUUUUGGUCUCACUCACCUCUGCGGCAAAAGUAGCUUUCACUCCUCCUCUCACCCGUGGAAGCUCCAAUCAGAGAGACUCGCACCCAGCCAGCGUUUAGCGGCUCGAGUCGCGUUCCCCUCCGCUAGCACCGCGGCGGUGACUAAAAUCACGUCGAAUUUCCUGGAAAUGCGCCUCGCCGUGAGCUACUUGCCUGGCUGGGAAAAUGCACUCAAGUUUGUUGGCCGGGUGAACACCAGGAGAUCGCCCUGACUGCAGUGAUGCUGGAGGUUCCCUCACAUGGCAUAAUGAUGCCAACAAAAUGGCGGAAAUGGCACACAAUUAGAAUUGGUUGCCCAUUUGCCAAUUUCAGGUGGAAAACAACAACUUGAUGAAAAUUACUGGUAGACUGAGCAUCAUGUCCAUGUUUAGAAAAGUGAAAGGGAGGAGGCGCCGGGGGUCUUGUCACAACUUCAUCGCCAUGAUCGACCCCCCAGCCUUGCGAUAUGACGACUGCAUCUGCCGUUCUCCAGGCGCUGUGCCAAGCAAAAAAGCCCCCCAAAAAUAAAUAAAGUGGUAACAGAGUGCACUCCAGCGUGCUUUGUAACAGGUGUGUGUUUACGCUAGUGUGUGUGCGCGUGCGUGUGCUAAUCACUCCAAAUAGGAUAUCGGGGAGGAAACACUCCCAAUCUGAUGGCGCAAAGUGUGCGAUGUGAUGCAACCUGCAAGCGGAUUGCUUGAGCCAAGGCAGAUUGGAAUGUGAAACUUCCAUCAAAUGUUUCCGCAACCACAUGCCCACGACUCUAAGUCCUUCCUAACCCCCCGACGUGGCCAAAGUGCACGCGAGAGGGCGUGAGCGCGCACGUGGGCGGCCUCCCCUCGUCUUAUCUCGCUCCGGCAGGCCACUCUGCUGACACGCAUGCCAAAGAGCCCCCCUCGUUCUCAUUCAUGGCUUCGCGCGUCUUCGGAAAAUGUCAUCGCCAGGGGAAGGGAAGGGAAGGGAAGGGGAGGCGGGCGAGGAGGGGCGGCAGAGCGCAAAACACACAAACUCCAAAGUGCUUCGGGCUUGAAGUCCCGCACAGCUGCCAGUUACCUCGACGGGGUUUCGUUAUCUCUUCGGCAACGUUGUCCCACCGCCGGCGCAGACGCCGGACACAUCAACAGCUACUGUAGAACAAAUGGGUCCAUUACUCAUGUGCUAUAGUAGGUUCCCCUCCUUAUCCUCGUUUCUGUCUGUUGGAAUCUUGUAAUGCAAUCCCUCAACGGGCAUUUUUGUACAUAUUAACUAUGUUCA